rnacentral:rRNA from 1 species
AACGAUGGAUACUAGCUGUCCGGUGCACAUUGGUGUGCUGGGUGGCCAAGCGAAAGUGAUAAGUAUCCCACCUGGGGAGUACGUUCGCAAGAAUGAAACUCAAAGGAAUUGACGGGGGCCCGCACAAGCGGUGGAGCAUGUGGUUUAAUUCGAUGAUACGCGAGGAACCUUACCAGGGCUUAAAUGUAGUCUGACAGGUCUGGAAACAGAUCCUUCUUCGGACAGAUUACAAGGUGCUGCAUGGUUGUCGUCAGCUCGUGCCGUGAGGUGUCAGGUUAAGUCCUAUAACGAGCGCAACCCCUGUUGGUAGUUGCCAGCGAGUCAUGUCGGGAACUCUAACAAGACUGCCGGUGCAAACCGUGAGGAAGGUGGGGAUGACGUCAAAUCAUCACGGCCCUUACGCCCUGGGCCACACACGUGCUACAAUGGCAGGUACAAUGGGCAGCCACGCCGCAAGGCGGAGCGAAUCCACAAAACCUGUCUCAGUUCGGAUCGGGGUCUGCAACUCGACCCCGUGAAGCUGGAAUCGCUAGUAAUCGGAUAUCAGCCAUGAUCCGGUGAAUACGUUCCCGGGCCUUGUACACACCGCCCGUCAAGCCAUGGAAGCUGGAAGCACCUGAAGUCCGUCACCGCGAGGAGCGGCCUAGGGUGAAGCUGGUAACUGGGACUAAGUCGUAACAAGGUAACCAAGGG